GGAAACGGCUCUUAAAUCCGGACUAGAGGUUUUUCUGACAUGUAUCAUGUAAACAGCAGUGUUUUUGAGACUUCUCUUGUCUUAAGAGCUGAAGUGAAGUCUGUAUGGAUUUGACACUUUGUCUGUCUGAUGUUUAACACGUGUCAUUCUGCUUUUGCCUCAGCCUGACGUAAUCCUGAUGACCCUGAAAUAGUCCAGCACCUUCAUUCUUCUGCAGUUUCUGAAGUCCUUCACUGCAGACAAGAACUGACAGUAUCCCUCCUUCUUACACGCCCUUUCCGCUGACCUUUCCGGUCUACUUUUCUCGGGUCCAGGCGGGAGUGAUGAAGCCUCUCAGUGCUCAGGCAGUAUGACUAAGACCGAAUAAGAUUACCUGUGACAUGGGCAGGGGAACUGAGGCACUAGAGUGUUUGUUCAGUGACACGGGCGUGCUGCAGUGCAUUGUGGGGCCGGAGUCGAUGCAUGUUCCAAUGAACUGCCUCAUUCGUCUCGAUAUGAUCACUCUGGUCUCUCUCUCUCUCCCUCUCUGUCUCUCUCUCUUCCUAAUGGGUAGGAACAGCUGUGAAAAAGAGCACCUCACACUAACAUCAGCCAUUAUUUCAUUACCCUGUAUGUUGAAGUGUGCAGAGAGCCGAAGUACGUUAAUGAAAACAGCACCAUGUCAACACGGAUUGGAUGUGGCAUUUAUUACAGAUAUUACAGCCUCAAUCAUCCUGAUGCAUUACACACACGAUUGUGUGAAAUGUUGAAAGUGAACACAGGUUUUUAUAUUGAUUUACUUUAUUUCAUGUUAUAUAGACGGGACAAU